AGCAGCUCCUGAAGUCAGGGUUAACCGGGAAGGCCUAAUAGGUCUUUGCUAGACACCCCUAAAACUGCCCCCUGCGCGAUUUUCCCAUCCCCUUUUUCUCCCCUUUCCCUCCGGCACCCCACAGCCCUCCCUUUCCUGCCCAGCCCUUCCCUCUGGGCCGCCUCUUCACUGAGUCAUUUCCCCUUCUCCGCCCCAAAGAUCUUGGCUUUCUCUUGGAAUCCCUUCCCCUAUGGCAGGAAGUAGAGGAAAGGCAAAGUAGCUUUGGGAACCAGGUGAGCGUUUUCCCCAGCGAGGAUGAGAAACGCCUCCCCACACCCCCUGAAACCCCUGAAUUCGGAAGGACGGGAAAUGCUGGGAGUUCCCUUGAGCCGAGCGUAGGAGGUGCCACGUCCCGCCUGGUGUCUCCUGGGACUUAAGGCGGGAAGCGACGGUCCAGUUGGGCGGACUUGUGGGGCUGCUACCCACUCCGGCGCAGUGAGCUCAGCGCGCAGGGGAGGGACCUCGCUGCCACGAACCUCCAGAAGCCAACCGUUGGGAGGAGAGAGGAAAAAGCUCCGAGGGGUGCAUGUGCAGGGUGCGUGCGCGUGUAAGUGGAGUGGUACGUGUAGUUAGAAGGCAUGCGUGUGUAUGAAGGGGUGUAGAGAGGUGCGCGUGUGAGGAGGCGAGCGUGCGCGGGAAUACUUGUGGGCGUGUGGAGAUGUGUGGGAGAGAUGCGAAGAUGUGAUUUACACAGGUGCGGACGAAGGAAUGUGCGAGUGGUGACCUGGAGAUGCGUUCCAGUGUGGAGACUCACUAAGAAGCCCGUGGGGGAUGGGCGUGUGUGCACGUGGAGGUGUGUAUGAGGGGAUAUAGAUGUAUUAAUAUGUAUGCGUGAGCAUGUAGUGCGUACGUGCGUGGGGGUCCGUGCGUGGGGGUGCGUGCGUGCGUUGGGUGGUGCGUGCGUGGUGGGGACGCGAGAGCUGGAAGGAAGGCAGACGUAGCGGAACGCGAGAGCCAGGCAUACCUAGUUGUGCUGUCAGCCAAAGCGAACCAAGUUCAUCCUGUAAAGUCACAUGCCUGAAGUUUUGGGGUACAUGUGAAGAACAUGCAAGAUUGUUGCAUAGGUACACACAUGACAGUGUGAUUUGCUGCCUUCCUCCCCUUCACCUAUAUCUGGCAUUUCUCCCCAUGCUAUCUCUCUCCGACUCCCCACUCCCCACUGUCCCUCCCUUAAUUCCCCCCAACAGACCCCAGUGUGUAGUACUCCCCUCCCAAUGUCCAUGUGCUCUCAUUGUUCAACCCCCGUCUAUGAGUGAGAACAUGUGGUGUUUGAUUUUCUGUUCUUGUGUUAGUUUGCUGAGAAUGAUGGUUUCCAGGUUCAUCCAUGUCCCUACAAAGGACACGAACUCAUCGUUUUUGAUGGCUGCAUAGUAUUCCACAUUUUCCCUGUCCAGUCUAUCAUCGAUGGGCAUUUGAGUUGGUUCCCAGGUCUUUGCUAUUGUAAAUUGUGCUGCAAUGAACAUUUGUGUGCAUGUCUCCUUAUAGUAGAACAAUUUAUAAUCCUUUGGGUAUAUACCCAGUAAUGGGAAUGCUGGGUCAAAUGGAAUUUCUAUUUCUAGGUCCUUGAGGAAUCGCCACACUGUCUUCCACAAUGGUUGAACUAAUUUACAUGCCCACCAACAGUGUAAAAGUGUUCCUAUUUCUCCACAUCCUCUCCAGCAUCUCUUGUCUCCAGAUUUUUUUAAUGAUCUCCAUUCUAAUUGGUGUGAGAUGGUAUCUCAAUGUAGUUUUGAUGUGCAUUUCUCUAAUGACCAGUGAUGAUAAACAUUUCUUCAGAUGCUUGUUGGCCUCAUGUAUGUCUUCUUUUGUAAAGCGUCUGUUCAUAUCCUUCGCCCACUUUUGAAUGGGCUUGUUUGUUUUUUUCUUG
rnacentral:lncRNA from 1 species